rnacentral:sRNA from 1 species
AUUUCCCCUUUCGAAAUUCUC